AAAUGGUGGUUUUGGUCCUGUCUUAAGGGGGGAAAAAGAGACAUUUCCUAUAAAUCAGUUUAGUUCUAUUUGUUUUAUGAGCUGUACAGAAGUACAAGCCCGAGUUUAAUGAAGUAUUUCACACGUUCCCUCAUAAGUCUUUCUUGGAAACCCAAGCCAUCAGUGUUAUGAUAGGCUAUCAGCAGAAGGGAGGACAAGGUUCAUUAUUCUAGAAAUAUUCCUAUCCAUGGGCAUGCACGGCAAUGAGAAUUUCACUAUUCUGAUGGUUACUUUGCAUUAAGUUAACAGACGCUUCAGAUCACAAACAACCAAACAUGUACCCUUGGUAAGAGUUGAGAUUAUAGCCUCUUAUCUCUCCUUGGUGCCUUUUAUCUUUCUGUGUUGUUAUAUUUUUCUUCAACUUUGGAUUAGUGUAGGAUUUAAUUCUUUUCUCCUGGCUUUCAUCUGUAGGUUCAAUUUGUUAUGGAAUAUGCAUAUAUAUUAUAGAAUAUAUAUAUACACACAUCUAUUUAUACAUAUAUAAUAUUUUAGGGUUGAUGUUCUAAGAUUACAUUUAUCUUAUAUGUAGGUAUGUGUGUAUGCCAUGUGUGUGGAUGCUCACAGAGGCCAGAAGAAGGUACAAGAUGGCAGUCCUAGUGACUGCGAGGUUCCCAAAGUGGGUGCUGGGAUCUGAAAUCAGGUCUUUUGGAACACUAUCAAGUACUCUUAACUGAUGAGUCAUCUCUCCAGGCCACAUGGUUUGAGGGUUUAGAGACAAACCUUUUAUUUUAGUGUGCGUGUAUGUGUGUGUGUUUGUGUGCGUGCAUGCUCGUGCAUGUAUGUGUUUGUGUUUUUGUGCAUGUAUGUAGGCCCACAUACCAUGGAAUGAAUGUGAAAGUAGGAGGGCAGCCUUGGGUGUUGGUCCUCACAGUCUACUUGGUUUGAAGCAAGGUCUGUUUUCAUUCACCGCUUCACAUUCUAGGCUAGUUAACUGAGACUUUCUGCGGAUUCUCCCACCUCUCCCUCCCUUCUUCCCACAGAGUUCAGGAUUGCAGUUAGAAACUCAGAGCAUCUGGGGUUGAUGUGGGUUCUGGGGACCACACUCAGGUUGGCAGGCUUCCGUGGUAUGUGCCUUACCUGACGAACCCUCUCUCCAGCCCUAGGAUAGCCUUAUACAAGACAGAAAACGGCAGCACGGAGAGUCCUGGAUUUUCCCUUCUGGCUUCUUCUGUUGCAACAUCUUAUGAUCCACUUGCCACAGCAAAAAAGUCAGUGCUAAGAUGUCAUCAUAAGCCAAACCUCAUCAUUUAGAUUUCCCUAUUUUUCUUAUCAUGCCCUCCUCGGCUUCAAGAUCCAACCCUAGGACAUCACAUGAUGCUCAAUCACUGUAUCCUUUCAGGCUUUUCUGCUCUGAAAGUCUUUCAGAUUUUCAUGACUAAUAAUUUUCAUGGGUACUGGUCAGGUACCAUGUGGCCCUUGUGUUAAUCACUGCUGG
rnacentral:lncRNA from 1 species